GGGUGUGAUCAUACCAGCACUAAUGCACCGGAUCCCAUCAGAACUCCGAAGUUAAGCGUGCUUGGGCGAGAGUAGUACUAGGAUGGGUGACCUCCUAGGAAGUCCUCGUGAUGCACCCC
rfam:Nelumbo nucifera unplaced genomic scaffold scaffold00014, whole genome shotgun sequence